rnacentral:rRNA from 1 species
GAGACAGCAGUCGCCACGGGAAUACAGAGGGUGCAAGCGUUAAUCGGAUUUACUGGGCGUAAAGGGCGCGUAGGUGGUUAUUUAAGUGAGAUGUGAAAUCCCCGGGCUUAACCUGGGAACUGCAUCUUAUACUGGGUAACUGGAGUGCAGUAGAGGGUAGUGGAAUUUCCGGUGUAGCGGUGAAAUGCGUAGAUAUCGGAAGGAACACCAGUGGCGAAGGCGGCCCGCUGGACAUGUAUUGACGCUGAGGUGCGAAAGCGUGGGGAGCAAACAGGAUUAGAUACCCCAGUAGUCCCUGUCUCUUAUAC